GUGCUUUCCCUCCAUUUCAGGCACCCUUUCUUGGGCCGCGAGGUCCCUAUCUCGAACGGCUCAGGAUUCGUGGUGGCUGCCGAUGGGCUCAUUGUCACCAACGCCCAUGUGGUGGCUGAUCGGCGCAGAGUCCGUGUGAGACUGCUAAGCGGCGACACGUAUGAGGCCGUGGUCACAGCUGUGGAUCCCGUGGCAGACAUCGCAACGCUGAGGAUUCAGACUAAGGAGCCUCUCCCCACGCUGCCUCUGGGACGCUCAGCUGAUGUCCGGCAAGGGGAGUUUGUUGUUGCCAUGGGAAGUCCCUUUGCACUGCAGAACACGAUCACAUCCGGCAUUGUUAGCUCUGCUCAGCGUCCAGCCAGAGACCUGGGACUCCCCCAAACCAAUGUGGAAUACAUUCAAACUGAUGCAGCUAUUGAUGUGCGUCCUGAUAGGAGAGAAAUGACAAAUGAUGGGGGAGGGGGGAGAGGCUGUGUGGUACAAGCACCAACUGAUAUAUGGUGGAUGAGCCUAUAUAGAGCUUAGGCUGCAAAAAUGUGGCCACUUAUUCAUGGGCUGAGAAAG
rnacentral:lncRNA from 1 species